rnacentral:rRNA from 1 species
UACGUAGGUCCCGAGCGUUGUCCGGAUUUAUUGGGCGUAAAGCGAGCGCAGGUGGUUUAUUAAGUCUGGUGUAAAAGGCAGUGGCUCAACCAUUGUAUGCAUUGGAAACUGGUAGGCUUGAGUGCAGGAGAGGAGAGUGGAAUUCCAUGUGUAGCGGUGAAAUGCGUAGAUAUAUGGAGGAACACCGGUGGCGAAAGCGGCUCUCUGGCCUGUAACUGACGCUGAGGCUCGGAAGCGUGGGGAGCAAACAGG